rnacentral:rRNA from 1 species
AUUGAACGCUGGCGACGUGCUUAACACAUGCAAGUCGUGCGAGAAAGGGGACUUCGGUCCCUGAGUAGAGCGGCGCACGGGUGAGUAACGCGUGGAUAAUCUCCCCAGAAGUUCGGGAUAACGGCGGGAAACUGCCGCUAAUACCGGAUACGCUCCAAUUUCGGUUGGGGAAAGACGGCCUCUGUUUACAAGCUGUCGCUUCUGGAUGAGUCCGCGUCCCAUUAGCUUGUUGGUGGGGUAAUGGCCUACCAAGGCUACGAUGGGUAGCUGGUCUGAGAGGAUGAUCAGCCACACUGGAACUGAAACACGGUCCAGACUCCUACGGGAGGCAGCAGUGGGGAAUAUUGCGCAAUGGGGGAAACCCUGACGCAGCGACGCCGUGUGAGGAAUGAAGGCUUUCGGAUCGUAAACCUCUGUCCUUGGUGACGAAAAAAUGACGGUAGCCAAGGAGGAAGCCCCGGCUAACUACGUG